CUCCAAGUAUUCUUUCAUUUGGUCCAAGUGUGAAAAACUCACACUCAGAGCGAUUCGUCUCUCCCUCGGCUCUUCACCAUGUCCGAUCACCUCCAACGUCUCCCAGUCCUCUUCUUCUUCCUCCUCCUCCUUUCACUCUCAUUCUCCGAAUCUCUUCAAGAAGACGAAGAAUCAGACACACCCAUUUCCCGUUUCCAACAAUACCUCAGAAUCAACACUGCUCAUCCUAACCCAAACUACACUGACGCCAUUAACUACCUCACUAACUUCGCCAAUUCAAUCCCCAAUCUUCACUACAAAGUCGUUCACCUCACCCCUACUUCACCCCUCCUCCUACUAACCUGGCCAGGUUCCAAUCCUUCACUUCCCUCCAUUCUUUUCAACUCCCAUCUUGAUUCUGUUCCUGCUGAACCAGAUAAAUGGACCCACCCACCUUUUUCCGCUCACAAGACUUCCGAUGGAAGAAUCUAUGCACGGGGAGCCCAGGAUGAUAAGUGUGUCGGUAUGCAGUAUUUGGAGGCAAUCAAAGCGAUUCAAAGUAGUGAUCCAAAUUUCGUGCCUCUGCGAAAUGUUCAUAUUCUGUAUGUGCCUGAAGAGGAGGUUGGUGGGUUUGAUGGGAUGGAGAAGUUUGUGGAAUCUAAAGAAUUUGAAGAGUUAAAUGUUGGGUUUAUGAUGGAUGAGGGACAGGCUUCGCCUAAUGAUGAGUUUAGGGUGUUUUAUGCUGAUAGGACUCCUUGGCAUACGGUGAUUAAGGCUGUUGGAAUGCCUGGACAUGGCUCUAAAUUGUAUGAUAAUACUGCUAUGGAGAACUUGAUGAAGAGUAUUGAGGUUAUUACUAAGUUUAGGGAGUCUAUGUUUGAUAAGGUCAAGGCUGGACUGGCUGCUAAUUCUGAGGUCAUCUCAGUAAACCCAGUGUUUCUCAAGGCUGGAACUCCUUCCCCAACUGGAUUUGUGAUGAACAUGCAACCCUCUGAGGCUGAGGCGGGAUUUGAUAUUAGGAUGCCGCCAACAGCUGACCCCGAACUUAUGAGGAAGAUAAUUGAAGAGCAAUGGGCACCGGCUUGGAGGAACAUGACAUAUGAGAUAACCGAGAAAGGAUUUUUAAGGGACAACAGGGGACGUCCUCUGAUGACACUUGCUUCCGAUUCCAACCCUUGGUGGUCCGUGUUCAAUCAAGCUCUUACUAGAGCUGGUGGCAAACUCUCCAAGCCUGAAAUAUUAGCUUCGACUACUGAUGCUCGAUUCAUGAGACGGCUGGGAAUUCCUACCUUUGGUUUCUCCCCAAUGAAGAAUACCCCCAUCUUACUUCAUGACCACAAUGAGUUCCUCAAGGAUAAUGUUUAUUUGGAGGGGAUUAAGGUGUAUGAAAGCAUUAUUAAGUCAUUAAGUUCCUUUGAGGGAUCUCAUGAACACUGAUGCAGUGGGUUUCUCAACAAUGAAGCAUUUGAAAACUUGGUAUGAUAUUCAUCUCUUUUGAGUGUUCCAUAAUUUCAAGUUUUGCAGGGGAUCUCUCUUUUGGAAAAGACGAUUUGUGCACACAAUACGGUUUUAUAACAUUAUUUACAAAAAUAACAAGAAGAUCUAGAGGGGAAAAGGUGUUUUACGCUUAAAGACUAAUGUAAAUGUAAGGUUACCAUUUGCAAUAAAUUAUGUUGACAAAGCAUGCAAGACUAUGCUUCUAUGGAGCUUCUACCAAUUAUUCUCUGAUGUAAAAACCCAUCUGGAGUUUAGUCAGACAAUGUUUCUACCUAUGUCAAAUAAUAAAAUAAAAAAGGCAGCUUGGUGCACUAAGCUCCUGCUAUGCGUGGGUUCGAGGAAAGGUCAUAUGACAAGGGUCUAUUGUACAUAGUCUUACUUUGCGUUUCUGCAAAAAAUUGUUUCUAUAGCUCGAACUUAUGACCUCUUGGUCAUAUGAUAACAACUUUCGGUCAAAAUGGUCUCUAAAGAGUGUAAUGGUCUGAAAGCAGGUAGCUCAUCAUAUAACAGGUGAUAUUGUUAUCUCUAUAGUGUUAUUGAUAUCUUAUUUUUCUUUGUUAGUCUAUCUGUCUAGAUGUACAUGUUUGUAUUAUUUAGUGGAUAAUAAAUGUAAUGUCCAAUUUGAGAUUGGAA